rnacentral:rRNA from 1 species
GUAGGGAGCGAGCGUUAUCCGGAAUUAUUGGGCGUAAAGGGUGCGUAGGUGGUUUCUUAAGUCAGAGGUGAAAGGCUACGGCUCAACCGUAGUAAGCCUUUGAAACUGAGAAACUUGAGUGCAGGAGAGGAGAGUAGAAUUCCUAGUGUAGCGGUGAAAUGCGUAGAUAUUAGGAGGAAUACCAGUUGCGAAGGCGGCUCUCUGGACUGUAACUGACACUGAGGCACGAAAGCGUGGGGAGC